rnacentral:rRNA from 1 species
GGCUAACGCUGGCGGCGUGUCUUAGCCAUGCAAGUCGAGCGGACUUAUGGGGUAACUUAUAAGUCAGCGGCGGACGGCGGAGUAACACGUAGCUAACCUACCCUCUGGACGGGGAUAACCUACCGAAAGGUGGGCUAAUACCCGAUGUAGUCAUCCUGUAUAGGGGUGAUGAAAGGUGGGCUUCUGUUUACAAGCUCAUGCUGGAGGAGGGGGCUGCGGCCUAUCAGGUAGUUGGUAGGGUAAUAGCCUACCAAGCCGAUGACGGGUAGCCGGCCUGAGAGGGUGACCGGCCCGAGGGGCACUGAGAUACGGGUCCCACUCCUACGGGAGGCAGCAGGCUAGAAAUUUGGGCAAUGGGGGAAACCCUGACCCAGUGACGCCGCGUGCAGGAAGGAGCCCUUCGGGGUGUAAACUGCUGUCGUGUAGGGAGAAGGGUACUAAGGUGAACAAUCUUAGUACUUGACGGUACUACAGGAGGAAGCCCAGGCUAACCUCGUGCCAGCAGCCGCGGUAAGUAGCGUACU